GUCGCUUCUGUGCCUCAUUUGUUCAAGGCAAACUAGGAGAUUCUCCUUGAGUUGAUAGCAAUGGAAUUUCAAUUCUGCUGAGGAGGCAGCCUAUCGGCCCACUCUUUUUGUACUGAUUCGGUGGACUCUAGUCGGUGUUAACUCUGAUCCCCACCUUGUGUUUACGAUAUGACAUCGCUUGUUGGAUGGGGUUUAUUGCAGAUCUUUUCUAUUUUAGGAUACAAAGUCUUCACAAAUUUUUUGUGUUUCAUUUGCUUCUAAAUGAAAAAAUACGGCGUAGGAGUGGUGAUGUUGCCCCUUUCUCUUCACCGGCUGAGGGGAUAAGCGCAGUUUGAGUUAGUUAAGCGCUUUUAAGUUCUCAUAGUUUUUCUGUUUCGUCUUUGUGCCAGACCUUUUGUUCGGAUCGUUGUUCCAACUCAGAACAAAUAACAGUUUUUGAGCGGGCCUUCUCGGUAAUUCAGAUGAAUGGUAUAUGUUUCGAGCAGUGAGAGGAAAUCAUUUCUUGUUUGCUUUGCUUUUUUAGUGCUUGUGACUUUUGGUUUCUCUUAGUGAUGAUUUUGGCUCGAUCUCUCACGCAAAUCUUAUAAGCUUGUAUCCGUACUUCUAGUCUUGUUUGCUACCGAACGGAACGGCUAGAGUGCCGAUUACCUUUAUUUCCGUAUUUUUAAUUUUUAUGCCGUUAGAUCAAAUACAAAGGUUUAUAUUUUGUUAUAAGCAUUUUGUCACCUCAUCCUCAUUUCGGUUAUUGAUAUUUAUAUUCUUAGCAAAAAAAAAAGUCAUAAUCGAAAAAGAAAAUAACUCUUGUCAUGGUUUCUUACCGAAUCGAGUAAACAUGGUGACCUUCUUCAAAGUUAGUUUCUUGUAUAUAUUUUUGCUCAUUUUUAUAGUUUGUAAAUAACUAUUUUUGGGUUUUUUUUCAAAAAAAAAAAAAUAACUAUUUUUGGUGAUCGCACGAGUUAGACAAUUACAUGGUAAAAGGUUUGUUCCUUUUUUUGAACUCUAUCUAAUUAUCAUUUGCACCACUACAAAAAAUAUACAUCAAGUAUAUUUUACUUAAUUCAAAAAUUAAAACCCAUGAAAGUAUUUUUCCAAUAAGAGCACCAUUAACCAGAGUUCUUAAGAGGGUUUUUAAAAAUAAUGAAGCAUUUAAUUAAAUCAAAACUAAAGAAAAUUGCAGUUAUCGAUCCUUAAUAUAGGAUUUCUGUGACCGAUUACAAAGGGGGUUUCUAAGCCACGUGUCAGCAAACUAAAUAAUGAGGCAUUUUUUUCUCUCUCUCCUCUUCUCUUUCGUGCCUCGUCUUCUCCGUCUCCUCCUGUGUUCUCCGCGGGACGACGAUGGCUUUUCGUUCUCUCCUUCACACCUACAAGGUUCAAACGAAAGCUAAAACCCCAUCUCACUUCGUUAAGCCUCCUCUCUACUCGAUAAAUCUAUCUCUGUCUCCUUCUCCGUGGAUCUCUCAUUCGAUCGGAUGAUCUCUCUCCUCUGUUGAGUUUCAGAACUUCUCUGUGGAGAUCGAUGGCCACAUCCACUCGAAAUAAACCACAUGUAAAUGUGGGAACAAUUGGGCAUGUAGAACAUGGGAAGACUACUUUAACUGCUGCAAUCACAAAGGUUCUUGCUGAAGAGGGAAAAGCUAAAGCUAUUGCCUUUGAUGAAAUUGAUAAAGCUCUCCAAGCCAAUGUUUUUGCUCUAGUCUGAUUCGGAUGGUCAAUCUAUGUUAAGAUUUGAUCUCGGCAUGAUCUUAAUCGCAACCGAUGAGUUCUCAGCGGGAAAUAAACUUGGACAAGGUGGAUUUGGAUCUGUCUACAAGGUAUGAACUUUUCAUUGUAAAAUAUGUUUUCAAAACAUCUAUAUUUUUCGAUGAUGUCAUACCGGUUUCAGGGGAUUUUACCGAGCGGACAAGAGAUAGCGGUAAAGAGAUUAGCUGGAGGGUCAGGACAAGGAGACUUAGAGUUCAAGAAUGAGGUUUUACUCUUAACGAGACUCCAACAUAGGAAUCUGGUUUAGCUUCUUGGCUUCUGUAAUGAAGGAGAUGGAGAGAUUCUUGUUUAAGAGCAUGUCCCUAAUUCAAGUCUUGAUCACUUUAUAUUCGGUAAGCCUUGGCACGACCAAUUGUAAUGUAUUUUUAUUAUAA